rnacentral:rRNA from 1 species
GUGGCAGAUGCUUACAGUGCAACUACGCACGGAUGGGGGCAACCCCAUUAGUAUGCGGACGGGUGAGUAACGCGUAGGUAUCUAUAGUUGGGCGGGGGAUAACUGUGGGAAACUACAGCUAAUACCGCAUGAUCCCUGAGGGGCAAAGGCAGCAAGUCGCCUGAGAGAGGAGCCUGCGUCCGAUUAGCUAGUUGGUGGGGUAAAGGCCGACCAAGGCUAGGAUCGGUAAGUGGUCUGAAAGGAUGAUCAGCCACACUGGGACAGAGACACGGCCCAGACUCCUACGGGAGGCAGCAGUGGGGAAUAUUGGACAAUGGGCGCAAGCCUGAUCCAGCAAUGCCGCGUGGGUGAAGAAGGUCUUCGGAUUGUAAAGCCCUUUCGGCGGGGACGAUGAUGACGGUACCCGCAGAAGAAGCCCCGGCUAACUUCGUGCCAGCAACCGCGGUAAU